rnacentral:rRNA from 1 species
AUUGAACGCUGGCGGCAGGCCUAACACAUGCAAGUCGAGCGAGCGGCGGACGGGUGAGUAAUGUCUGGGAAACUGCCUGAUGGAGGGGGAUAACUACUGGAAACGGUAGCUAAUACCGCAUACUAUCGGAUGUGCCCAGAUGGGAUUAGCUGGUAGGUGGGGUAAUGGCUCACCUAGGCGACGAUCCCUAGCUGGUCUGAGAGGAUGACCAGCCACACUGGAACUGAGACACGGUCCAGACUCCUACGGGAGGCAGCAGUGGGGAAUAUUGCACAAGGGGCGCAAGCCUGAUGCAGCCAUGCCGCGUGUAUGAAGAAGGCCUUAGGGUUGUAAAGUACUUUCAGCGGGGAGGCGUUACCCGCAGAAGAAGCACCGGCUAACUCCGUGCCAGCAGCCGCGGUAAUAC